rfam:Helianthus annuus linkage group 9, whole genome shotgun sequence.
AUACCAUGAUGAGGACAAUUACGGAUCAACUGAUUGAACCGCUUCCAUGACUCAUACAACAACUCACCUGGAAGUUGUUGAAACUCUCUAAGUGC